rnacentral:snRNA from 1 species
GUGCUUGCUUCGGCAGCACAUAUACUAAAAUUAGAACGAUACAGAGAAGAUUAGCAUGGCCCCUGAAAAAACAAUAUACAAAAUAAAUGAUUAAUGAUGUUUGGUUCU